rnacentral:lncRNA from 1 species
AAGGAGAGUGACAAGAUGGGGUUGAGGCCAACAACGACAACGAAUUCGAAGGAGUGACGGUAGGAGGAGCUAAUCCGAAGCUUGAUGCAGUGCUUGAUGAAUGGGUUGGACGUGCUUGUUAUCCUUGAGGGCUACCCCAGGAAGGAAAGAGGAGACAAAGACCAGGAUGAGACUAGUUUCGUGUCCUCUUCCUGCUGGAAAGGACACGAAACUGCAAGUCGGACACCAUCAACAUCAUAGCCACCGUCUUCUCUUCUUGCUCUCCUUUGGAUGACACGACAGAAGUAACACCAGCUGUAGUCAUUGGGUUGGGCCAAAUAAGGUCCAUAUGUGGUUCGGCCUUGUUCUGAACCAUCUUCAAAUUAAUUAAUUUGCACAUGUCAUGUCUACAAAGCAUAGUAAUCACCUAUCCAUCUGGUCAAAUCUCAAAUCAAUCGAUCAAGUAUACGUAUAACUGUAUGAUAGGCUAGAAAUAUAUCACAUAUGGAUAAUAUUAUAUAAAUAACUUUUAUAAUGUGAAAGAGGACAAUAAGACAUGUUGAGGUGAUGACAGAGUCUAAAAGGUUUUCUUCUCUUUCAUCCUUACAAUAAAAUAAAAGACUCAAAUGCUUUAAAAAAAUCAUAUAUUUCUUAUAAUAAAUUAGACUAAGAUUCAAAUGAAUUAAUUAGUGAACCAGGCCAAUUGAUGUUUUGAUUCUCAGUUUAAACCAUCCAAGUGAUUGGUUUGAUCCGGAUUUUAUAACUGUUAUAGAUGCACAUCUUGAAAAAUAACAAUUUUUCAUUGUUCAUUUAAUUUAUUUGAUCUGAACCAAAAAUAAAAAAAUCCCUUGUUUGGCAACAGAAAUUUAAGCAAAACCUACACUACUCAAAAGGCUUAAAGGGCAUGUGGAUUAGUGUCCCCAGCAAUUGCGUGACACAUUUAUCACACAAUACAAAGCUCAUCACCUAGUUGUGGAGAGUAGGCCACGGAGAGAAUACUUAAGUCGAGAAUUGCAUGUGCAGAUUGAACAAAUAUUUUAAUAGCAAGUGUUUUACUAGGAAACUAAGUGCCAAGAUAUAAUGAAAGCAGCAACAUGUCAUAUCAAUAAUAAUUAUCUUAAAGGAACUCUUUGGGAUGGAUAUGAUCACCUGACUGUGUUUGCCAUGCCACCUGGAUCACUCAGAAAGAAGUUGACUUUGGAGGUAAAACAUGAAUUAUAUCCCUAGAAAUGGAUAUGAUGUCCAGGACGUAACGCCAUGUCUAUCUGCAAACAAGCUGACAUGAUAGCAAAACAUUAUACAAAUUUCCCCAAGGUCAACUAAACUCCACCACUACAAAUUAAAGAGAGUAUUGUUGCUCAAUUCAAGCCAGCCUUCGUCACACCUUAACCCAAUAUCCGAAGGUUAUCAAUUGGUAGGCUUAACUAUUGUACUGGUUAAUCACAAAUACCAAGAGUUUAAGCUUUUAGAAAAGGACCCUCUUCAGCAUCUCUUCUCAAGAGCAAACCAGUUAGGUUUGACGUGUGAAUGAAACCCAAAUGUUAUACUUGUGCAAGUCCAAAUAAUGUUUGAAUUACCUACUCUAUAUUUUUAAUUGAACACAGGAAAAGAGAGGACAGAUACAGGAUUCAAACUCAUGAUCUACUCUAAUUCUAUCUUCACGUUUGAAUUGUGUAAUCAUAAAUUUAAAAAUCUUAAAUUUUAGGAAAGAAAAGAAUCCAAUAUAUGCUUUAAGAUCCUGACAACAUUUACAAGUAGGUGAGCAUGCAAGAAACCGUUCAAUACUUACCAGACUUGCAAGCAUGCAAUCCACACUCUUGCUAGAUAAAGAGGCUAACAUUUACAAGAAGGUAAGCAUGAAUAAAAGAGAAUAAGAUGAUGCAUUUAUUAAUAACGUACAAGAUUAUUCUACCAGAGACCAUAUUGUUCUUUUUGGUUUGUGUGCUGCAAAAGCAAGAGAAGCAAAUCCACACUCUUGCUAGGUAAAGAUGCUAACAUUUACAAGCAGGUGAGCAUGGAUAAAAGAGAAUAUGAUGAUGCUUUUAUUAAUAACGUACAGGAUUAUUCUACCAGAGACCAUAUUGUUCUUUUUGGUUUGUGUGCUGCAAAAGCAAGAGAAGCAAAUGCACCAUAGCAGUGACAGUGUGCAGAGGAGGAAUAAAGGAAUAAUGUGUUCAUGAUUUAUGAAAUGUAGGCAUUGCAAGUGAGGUCCCUUGCCAAAUGAAUAGCAAAUGUAUCAUCAUGUUUAUGAUAAUGAUGAUGGCAAAAGUUUCAGGAGACAGGGCAGAGAGGCUCACUUAGCAGCAUCAUUGGAAGCAUCAACAGAUUCCUACUUGCAGAAGGUGGUGAAGGUGAGAAGAAAGCUAUUAUUGUAGAUCAAGUGAUGGUCAAACAUGUAGAACUCAGACCAGAAGAUAAGCAUAUACAAAAUAAGAUUCAAAAACCCAAUUCACAACGAAGCGCGUCACAAUGAUUGAUCAGCCAUUAAUCCAACGCAAACAUGAACCGCGUUUAAGAAACUUACAGGGUUUAUAACAUCGAUCCAAUAUUUGGACUUCGACUCCACAAGCUCUCCUCCGAUGAGAUUCCGGACCUUCUGUUGCAAAUUCCUCAUCAAGUCAAUCCUUGAAUUUUAGAAAAGACGAGAUGUUUCGCCGAUAGAAUCAAAUAGAACAAUCAAAGGCAUCGAUUAGUACAAAGAUGCAGAGAACUACCAGAUGAGUGGCGUGGAUCGGCGAUUUUCGGAGGCAGUGGGAAUCGAAGGACCCCGAGGCCGGAGACCGCCGUGAAGCCUGCCGCUGCAAAGGAAGGGGAGGAUAGAAUGCGUCAGAGAGAAGACCGGGGAGGAGAGGGAUCGGUAAUCAAUGGCGCAUGGAAUUAGGGUUUCGGGAAAAGGGGGAAGAGAAGAGGAUCGGGGGGUCAUUACCUCCGCGAACAGAAGAGCGCAGCCUACUUGAAGAAAGACGACGUCGAGCGUCUAAGCUUUACCCGACAACCGACGAGCCUUAAUGAUGCCAUCUCCACUGGGAGUGAGCAAUCCCAAACGGAUAGGAGAACUAUUGCCUUGAAGGAGGAGCUCACUGGCCAAGUGCCUUGUGACUUAGAGAGAGCCAUGGGACCCGCUGUUGCCUCCAUUCACGAGGCUGGUUGUUCGACGAGUAACUUCGAACGAUGUGUUCUUGUUUCAGCUAAUUACAGAGAUUAGUUAGUGUAAUUAAUUAUUUUUAAUAUUUCUAUUCCUAUCUUUUUAAAAAUUAUAUUAAAUUUUUUAUUUUUAUAAAAAUAAAAUAUUUAACUUCGUUUCUUUUUACACUGUCGACUAAAAAUACCGAGAUAAUUUAAAAAUAUAAGAAUCGAGAUGUUAAAAAUAUCCAACUUUAGGUUUCUUGCGUAUACCUUUGAGAUCCACACCAAGACUGAUGGGUGAUGGUAUUUCAAGUCGAUUCAUGAUCACAGUAUAAUCCUGCAAAAAUCCAGCUUCCAAAGAUAUUUAAACUCAGAAAGACAUUAAUCCGAUCCCAAAAAAUAGUUUCUUAGCAUUUCUGAAGUCAUCUUGUAACACCCAUAAUUUAAUGAUUUAUCCUCAACAAGAAUCAUGUUAAUAUAUCAGUCACCUUAUCGAUCGUGCAAGACACAAUGUAAUGAUUUAUGCUCAUCAAACACCAAGUUAAUAUAUCAGUGGAUCGCGAUACAUUCACCUGAUUGGCAUGAGGUACAAUGGACAACAUGAUUCCCUUCUUUCUCAGGUGGCAGAUUAGUCCCUCAACUCAAAAUCAUACACAGCUUUUGAUGCAUGUUCACAUUCUUUCAUCGAGAAAGCUUCCGAGAAAAGAGAUAUUGAUAGUAAAUAGCAGACAGAUAAACAAAGGAAUUCAGCUGUUCUGCUCUCAGUACCUACUACAUAAAUAGAGAGAGCCAGGGCUGCAUCCACAUUUCCAAUGGAAACCAAAACACGAGAACAAACAGAAGAGCGGUCAAGAAAAUUCGAGGAACAAUCAAUACUACUCAUGAAUUUCUCCUCCAAUCGUAAAGCUUCUGAUGCUUGAUCUAGCUACUCACUGCAUGAGAAGCCAAUAGGACUCAUCGGUCAUCUCAUAGGAAUACUCAUAUCCGAGAUCCUGAGCUUGAUGCUUAAAUUCUUGCAUGUCCUCCUUCGGCACUUGGAUGCCUACUAAGACAUUUGCACCAGUCUCACCCUAUCAAAAAUCAGACAAUAAACAUAUGUCACCUCACCAUCUUUGAUGAGCAUCUAAUGGAACUCAGAUGGAACUUCCAUCACGGGAGGUGAGACUGUUUAAUCAUCUUUCGCAUGUCUUCUGUUUGUUUCAGAGUUUAGUGGAAUAAAUCUUGUAUAGGUUAUUGUUCACUAAUUCCCUCAAAAAAUAAAAAGAAAAUAUCCUUGCAUUCUUGCAUAUAUAAAGUUUCCUUUGUGGUAUAUUCAAGGAAUGGUAGCAAAUAAGGAAUAAUCUGGUGAUCAACGUAAAGAAGAAGAGGAAAAGUACUAAACCUGCGCUCGAUAAUGGAACAGGGUAAUAUUCCAACAUGGACUAAAGGCAUCCAAGAAUUUCAUAAGAGCACCUGGCCUCUCUGGGAAGAUAAAUCUGCAAAGUAGUUCAUCUUGGACAUUGGACCAGCCUCCCAUCUGUAUACGUAAUGAAUACCAGUUCAAGAGUUGAUACCAUUACACAGUAUGAAUCUUUCAUAAAACCAUACAUGUAUGUUAAAUACAAGAUUACAUGAUGAGUCAGUUAAUAAGUUGGGAACAAAGAGUCGACUAAUUGUACAAAUAAAUAUAAAAAGGUAAAAUUCCACACACACACACACAUAUAUAUAUUGAAGAAAUGAAUAGAAGCAGACUGCUCUGUCAUCUAUUUGCAUAAUGAAUAUUAAUUUGGAACCGUCAAAAAUGUGUUAGUCUUUAAAGUUUAAACACUAAUCUAACUGGCAAGUCUGUGAUAAAUGAUUAACCCAAACCUACUGAUAUGAUAUAACCCAGAGGCAUAUCAAAAGUAGCAAAUGUAAAUUUUGGAUAGCAAUGGCAACCAUAUAUGACUACACCACUUACAGCAAACCAUUGUCAAUAUCGGUAACUUGCUGAAUUGCCCUUUUGGCAAGCAGGCAUGGCAAACAGUAUCCAGCUAUUUAAAUAUCACAUGCUACCUAUGUUCACUUCAAUGCCUAGUGCUUUGAGUAACUGAAGAAGAAAAAGAAUAAAAAAUAAAUGGAAAUAAUGUGAUGCUUUUAUUGCAGUGAUUUAAAAAGUAUUAGGCGCCAAAAGGCACCAAGGUCUUAAAAUGCUCGAGGCACUAGGUGCUCACCCGAACAAAACGAGACGUUCUGAAAUAUUAAAAUAUAAAUAAUAUAUAAUAUAAUUGAUAAAUAGAGAUUAACAGUGCUAAAAUCUAAAUAGAGACUAUUAUAUGAUAAUAGUAGUUAACAAUCUACUGUUAACAGUAUUUAAUCUACUGUUAGCAGUAGCCAGACGGGAGAAAAGAGUCACCGACGAUGAAAAGUAGGGAAGAAGAGCGAUGGUGACGGAGGAACUUUCGGACAACGAUACCGACGACCGAGGAAGCUCCGGACAGCAAUAGCAACGGCGGAAAAAGCUUUGGAUGAUGACAGCAGAAGUUACGGACGGUGACGUCGUGGGCAGAGGAAGCUUCAAAUGUGUCCGUCGGUGGCGAAGGAAGCUGCGGUCCUCUCCGUCAAUGGUGGAAGUAGCUACACACGGAAGCAACGAUGACAGAGGGAAUUGCGCAUGAAAGCUACACCUUUGGACUUGUUCGUUAGCGGCAGAGGAAGCGUCGGUCCUGUGCAUCGACGAUGAAGGCAAUGAAAGAGAUACGGCGGAGGCAGAGGUUGUGCCAGGGUUGCUCGAGGUCAUGCGGGGGCGCGGGGCAAGUGGUGGGUUUGCAAGUAACUUUAUGUAGCUUAGUUGGUUCAAUCAAACCGAUUAGCUACUAUUCAAUCGAACCGUAGACGGUAGGGUUCAUCAUGGUUUCAGCCAGGUGCUCGCUCGAGGCGCCCAACGCCUGGGUUCAGGCAAGUAGCCAGGUGGUGCUCCACUGAAGCGCAUCGCUUGGCGAAUUUGUGAGGCGCUCAGUUCUUGCCUCGCCUCACCCAAGUGCCCGAGUGCCUAUUUAAACCCCCAUUUUAUUGUCUCAAUUUGUUGGGUCUUAGGGAAGAAUAUGCUUUCCAAGUUCUAAGUAAAGGACAGACCCAUUCACUGAAUGGUUGUUCUCUUAGAAAUGAAAUAUUUUAUGGCAACUACUGUAGUUAUUUAACAAGUUCCUUUGUUAUCGAACUUAUUCUAUCCGAUGUCUGUCUCCUUCCCCCUCUAUGCCUCCCCCUUUCUUUUUUUAUUUUUUUUGUAUCACAUAAUUCAUACACUUUAUAAACUAAGUUUGAUAGUCUUCCUGUCUUUUGGCUCAGAAUAGAAAAGGCAAAAGAAAACUCCACAUUCAAUUAUUUAUUAUUUUGGAAGUAUGUAACAUCAGCCUUGGAUAAUAGGGUAACAAUUGCCAAGUAUAUUAAGUUAUCAAAAACCAAGUGACUUACAAAAUAUCUGAGAUGAUCCUUUGCCAAGUCAUCAUUAGUAAGAUUGAUAGUUCGAAGUUGUGCAGAUUUCAUUCGGUUCACCAUGGCUCCUAGUUCAGUGUCAGUAUGAAGUCCCACACUGCAAUAACAAAGACCAAAUGACUUUAACAAGAGAGCAAAACCUUUUACCACCACAUAAAGUGCAAGACUGCAUUUAGAAUCAGAUAUUCAAGGAAUGAAAAAGUGAAUUUCAACCAAUAGAUCAACAGUAUUGUGCAUUUUUUACUGGAUUAAAAACCUACUGAUGGUUUUUCUAGAUCUAAUAUCAAAUGAGCAUCUUACUUGCCUGUAAAGAACAAGAGCAUCUUCUCUACGUGAAUCAUAUCUGUAUUUGAACUCUGUAAUAUUCAUGGAGCCUACCUGCAAGGCUCUCCUAUGUCUAGAAUUAAAAAGUCAAACACUAAAAAUAAAGUAGAUUAACAUAAUGUUUGCAAAGUACCAGUUUACAGAAUGUCUUAAAACUCCCAUGCUCCUCUGGUAGAAUAGUUGCAAGUACAGCCUCUCGUUUCCGACCAACAUCAGCAAGUUCAGUUACCAACCUCAGCCUAUCAAAGUUCAUGUUUGCUCCACUGGUUAUUGCAACAACAUUUGUACCUUUCAAACCAUAGUAUUUGCAGUAUGCUUCUGCACCAGCAAGAGAGAGAGCACCAGCUGGUUCUAGAAUGCUCCUUUUCUCCUCAAACAUGUCCUGUAUUUGAAUGUAAAAUCUUUUAGUGAUCCAACAUCAAUUAUUUUGAAAUUAUACAUUAGUUGCAAGACAACCAAAAUUUAACUAGUGGGCAAAAGCUAAUGUUCAUAAUGAUAGAAAGUUGGAAACAACUUGAAGAAGAACAACACAAGAAAUCGCUUCAGUACACAUGUUUGAAUGGUGUCUUUAUUAAUGGUCAAAGCUUGUUUAAUGUCAACCUUCCUAACAGCCAGAGACUCGAGAAUCAGAAACAGGGUUUAAGUAUAUUCACUGACAAUAUACAAUUGUAAACAAUACAUACCUUAAUAGAUGCACAAAUAGCAUCACGACUGACGAGAACCACACCGUCAACAAGUUCCCUGCACAAACGAAAUGUCUCUUCUCCUACUACUUUUACAGCAACACCAUCUGCAAAUCCACCUACAUGCUCUACCAUGAUCCUCUGCCCAUGAUGCAAAGACAGUGCCAUUGCAUUUGCAUCAGAGGGUUCAACUCCAAUGAUCUUCACCUGUAGAAAAAAAAAGUGAUCAAUUCCUCUGACCCUUUUUUUUCUCAGCUUUAUUUAGUUGAAUGGUACAGUAACAGAUUUGAAAUUGAAUUUUCAGUGUUAUAAUGAAAGCAAGUUUAACUACAUGAACCUAAUAAUGCAAUUUUGGUUUCACUAGAACAGGAACAGGAGCUCUCAAAAUGAUAGAUAAAAAUAUUACUAAAAUAUCAAGUAAUACUGUAAAAGUAUAUUAAAAUUGCUUCACAAUGGAACUUAUUAAUGAGGACCCAUCCUUGAAGAAAUUUUCCUUGCAUUAGUCUGGCUUCUUUCAAGCGUAUAAGACCACUUAGAGGAUAAGAGUUGUAGGUCUUCUGUUUAAUGGGAUUUUGCAGGCUGAUGAGAUUUGCUUUCCUCCCACAUCUCCAAGACACAUUAAAACUCACAAACCCAAGCGAAUAUGCUCGGAGACUUAUUGUUUGUGUUAUCCAGUUAUUUUAGUGGGGUUCCAAUGGCGAUCUUUCUUCUCUCUUAUUUUCCUAAAGGUCUUUAUAUUCUUUGAGUACAUGAAAAACCCAAUUGGUGGGUCAUAUCCUAAUAAUACACUGACCAUAAGAAACCAAGACUUUAAAAGCAAUAUAUUACUUGUUAACAGUUCUAGAUUUACCAACUAAAAUCAAUUUAUGAACUUUGGUCAAUAAAAUUUAGAACUGAAUGUUCCAAUCAUACAAGGACGUUGAAGUAGCAAAGUAUAAUAUAAACAUGUCCCAACAAUAUAUUGCUUUACAACAUUAAACCAAUAAGGGGUAUUUAAUAAUGUGCAUUUAUCUAAACCUUUGUUACAAAUAUUAUAAAACGAGUUAUAGGCUUAGAAGAUAUAAAGAUACUAUCGUAAUGGACAAACCUCUGGGCAGACUCGUUUUACAUAAGCAGCAAUUCCUGCUAUUAGUCCACCACCUCCUACAGGAACAAAUAUUGCAUGCAAUGGACCUGUCAACUGGCGAAUAAUUUCCAUUCCAAUGGUUCCUUGACCUGUAAUAACAUCAGGAUGAUCAAAGGGGUGUAUGAAUGUGUGGCCUUCCUGCUCAGCACACUGCUUAGCAUAUGUCUGCGCUUCAUCAUACGAAUCUCCCUUAAGGACAACCGUCGCACCUAAUCUCUCAACAGAACGCCACUACAAAUAAAAAAUGGAAAAUAAGUGAGAUGGGACAACAAUUGAAACCAAAAAACGACAACCAGAUGUUAAUUUUCUAUUCCAUGAAUUCCCAUCAUAGAAGAAAGUAAACGAUGGUGUUUAGUUGAUUCAGACACCUUAAUUUCUGGUGUCGUAACCGGCAUUACAAUCACAGCAUCACAGUGUAACUUCUGAGCAGCUAAUGCGACCCCUUGUGCAUGAUUUCCAGCAGAAGAGCAUAUAACACCCUUAUCCAACUGCUUUCGUGAAAGCUUAACCAUCAUAUUGUAAGCUCCUCGUAGCUUAAAUGAGAAUACCUGUAAAGCGAGUCCAACCAUCAUUCCAAGAAAUAAAACUACUGGUGGCAAUUUAUUGUGCCGAAAACACUUUCCCCUUUGAUCCAAAGACCAAAAAGAAAAUCUAAUUUUUGGAUUUCUUUAACAAAAAGUUGCAGACUCCUUUUUCUGCUGAAUCAAUAGUUCGACAAACCCACUGUUUUCCUCAUGGAGAAGAAAGAAGCUUCCUGUCCAUCUUGCUCGAACCACGUGACUUAAUAGUACCAGAACUGGAAUCAACAAAAGAGAGGAAAAGAGGAAGAAUUGAAAGUGUAAGCGAAGAAAAAUUGCCUAAUAUAUGAGACUUAAGAAAGUGUAGCAAUCCACAUUUGCCAAAGCAGUAGUAAGGACGCAAGGAAAUGAAGGUGGAGAUAUAAAGUUGAGAAUAGAAACCAGACGGAGCAACACCAUACAUUCUUACUGGAUAAAAAAGGCUUGAAAUUCCAUUUAAACAAGCAAUAAUAGCCAAAAGGAAACAAAGAUGGCAUUCUUUUUCCAGCAGCAACAGAUGGAAUAGAAAUCAUUACCGGUUGCAAGUCCUCUCGCUUGAGCCAGAGAUUGACCCCGAGCCUCUCCGACAGCUUCGGCGCCAGCUGCAGCGGGGACUCGAUCGCCACGUCGUAAACCCUCGAGGAUAGCACGUUGGUCAAGUACUCCAUCGGGGUGAGCGCCCCGUUCGGGCGCUCCUCCCCCACGGCUGGCCGUGUCCUUUCGGUGAUCGCCCCAAGAACGCCGCUUUCGUACUGCAAGGAGUCCACCGAUACCCUCGCGAGGGGGGUCGCGACGGUGUAGGUGGCGCCCGCCUCUCGCUGCGUCGUGACUGCGGAGGCCACCAGGGUUGGCAGCCUUGCGCCGCUGCCGCCGAUGGACGUGGGGCGGAAGCGUUGGGGAGAGAAGGCCGUCCUCGGCGCUGCAGCUGCAGCCGCUGCCGCGCGAGCGGGGAUGGGCGGGAGGGGGCGGCGGGCGACGGCCUGGGACUCCAUCGUGGACGGGGCGGAGAGGCGAGGCGCGGCGAGGGAGAAGAUUCACGAGUGUCACAUUUUAAUAGCACUCGGUCACAAACAAUUACAUGUUACCCGAUCCGCAUGCCCGCAUUUCCAAUCCGGGAACAUCACGUGGGGACCACUUUUUAGCACGACAAAUAUCUGACUCGGGUGACCACGAAUCACGCACAAGAUCAAAACUUGUAUGCAUAUUUACACAUAUUUACGCGAGUGAUCAGCGGAUUCCGCGGAAGAGCAUACCGGAAGAAAUCAUUUAACUUCAUAACAUCCACCGUACAUUGUCAGAUCAAUGGUUGACGAUUAAUAGAUACUAAUCUGGCUUGGCCACUGCGGUGUGUCAAAAAGAUGGCGGCAUGGUUUCUUCCAAAGAGCCACGUGAGUCCUUCUUCAUCUUUUCUUCCUUGAUAUAUAUAUAUAUACAUCAUGCUUCUUUAACUCAAAAAAAUCUCCAUGAGAAAGAAUAUAGCAUUCACUUGAUAUAUAUAUAUAUAUAUAUAUAUAUAUAUAUGGCACUUGAAGAGAUUAAGGGUAUAUUGAUUCCUUUGGAAGUCAUAUAAUUUUGGUAAAAGAACUUUAUGGUUUUAGUAAAUCAGAUAUGUGCAUGGCAAUAUGAUAAACAACAAAUACAGAUUGUAACCAAAAUUAAGGUUUCAAUUAUUGAGUCACUGUGAGGUACUUGUGAGGAAGGCCUCCCAUCUUGACAUGACCAUGGCAUGGAGUUUCUCAUGCUUCUCAUGUUUCUUCUUCUUCUUCUUUGCGAACCCUCGUAAUGGAGUGAGACAAUUCCACACACAUCAAAAGUUCACUGCAACAGUGCCAUUUGCUCGUGCAAGCAGUAAACAAUGACUGGUUGUCUCCGUUCGAAUCUUGUCUCAUCCUUUGGGCGACCGGUAGGGAUGGAUUAUGGCCCUUUCCUUGAAGAAGUCAUAAAGUAAUGCCACCACUAACUACUCCUUAAUCUCACCCAAAACAAAGAUUCUUCUCAGCAUGUUUCUCAUGUUGAAAUUAUCCAUCCUCAAUGAAUCCAACAGACUCUCAAAAUUCAAAUAUAAAACAUAAAAAAUAAAAGAGAUAAUGAUUUCAGCUAAUUAGCUUUUAAUUGGAACACAAAAUAAGGUUAAGACAUAAUUUUAGCUUUGAUAUUAAAAGGAUAAAAAUUGAUCGAUGUUCUAUCCGAAAUAUUAGAACUAUAGGUUUAUUAUAUAUGAUAAUAUAUUCUCAUAAUUAAUUCAAUGGUUGUGAAUGAAGGAUUAAGAUAGAAAAUUGGGGGAUCCUCGGCUGUGAAUGGUUGUGAAUGAAGGUACAACCUUCAUUCACAACCUUCAUUCAAUGGUUGUGAAUGAAGGUUGUACCUAUCGAUCGGAGAUGAUAGAGAGUCCAUUCGGCUGCCCAAUUAUUUGGCCCACAAUCAACAAUAUUGCCGCUAUUUCUUGCGUGAAUCCUCGGCUAACAGACACAACCUUCCAUUGUAUCAUCACAACUAGUCGUGCAACAAUCAAAAUCAACUCCAUUUGAGUAGUUGAUUGCCACUAUUUGUAAAUCUUUAUGUCGUGGUCAAGGUGUCAGCAUAGUUUAGUUCAAUCCCAAAUGUACAAAGUCAUCUACGUGAAGGCUCGAGCGGAGGAAGUGGAUGUGAGGUCUAGUUGAGCUCGAGCGUCGUCACUUGCUUCGUUGUCGUACACAUAGGUCGAAAUCGGGAGGAGAAUUUUCUGACUCGACCCUUCCGAACUUUAAGUUAGUACCAAGGGGGUAGGAGUGAGCCGAAUGCUUCUAGCCUCCCCUUACUGAUUUUGAUCAUAGGGUUUUUAUAUUUGUGAAGGAGGGUCGAUCGUAUGUAAUAUGAUGAUGGCAAUCAGCUCCUUGGGCAGCUGGCUUGUACCUCUGUGCGAGCGCCGAUCGAUCCACACAGAUCAAUGCCACACGAUACUGCUCCGAACUUUCCGGAACGACGUUGCUAUGUACAGCUUCGGAUGGUCCGGGAAGAGGUAGACGCCCUCUCGAGUCCGAGAUAUCACAUCGACACGAUACUCCACCUCAACCUUGAGGCUUCAUGUUCGUGCUGACAUGUUUGCUUACUGUGGCCAUUGGGGCAAUACCAGAAUAUGUCCUAUUUGAGGCUUCAUCUCUUUGUACAUAAUAGAGAUGAUUUGCUCCACAUCGAAAUAUAUUUACUGAUCAGACUUUGAAGACUGCAUAGCUAAUUAGUUGUGUUUACUUCUUUUUAAAAUCAUGGGUGUUGGUUAAUGUGACACAUCAUGGGGACUUCUGCAUGGGAGAAUCUAGCUACAGGAAAAAUUAAUAAUGAGAACAAACAUAGGGUAGCAAAUUAUAUAAUUGGAGUUAUUUAGAUGUUUCUAUCGAUGUUAUCACAGGGUUUAGGUCAACUGUUUGGUUGACACAUUUGCUGUGUGGUUGGGGUCUGCAUAUAAUGCAUUCCAUGGGCUUGUGAUCAAUUUUGAUAAUGGGUAGUUAUUAACUUAUUAUUUCCUAACCAUUGUUUAGUUUGGUCUAAUAGCCAUUAGGUUAUUUUGUACUGAUAACUAACAUAGUUUGGCUUCUGUGAUGAUUAUUCUAGUACAUAACUGGAAAUUUUAUGUUACUGUCUUUUUUAAUGGGGAAAAGGUGGUAGUGUUGCUUGCUUUGUUGUCUUUAGCUUUUUAUGCUAUUUGAAACAUUGCAGUAUUAUUAUGUGGUCAGCAAAAUGUUCUACAGGACCAUUUGGAACAUUGAAACCAUUGCUUCCUUUUCUUUCUCUGUACAUUAUUUGAAGCAGAUUUGCAUAGAUCGUUUUGAGGUAAAUAUUGCAGUAUUUCUUUGAGUGGAACUGCUAAGCAGUCAGUCAAACAAAUUAGAACUAUGUAAAGUCAAGUGAUACAUCUUAUCAGGCUUACAACAUACAUGUGAUGGAUUAAUAUAGAUGUCAUAGAUCCAGUUACCAUCAAUAGGAAGUGCCACACCAACAUACUCUAUCAUGUCAAACUUUCUUAUGACAGUAUAAAUUUGCACAAAAGUAAUCACCAUCAAGAUUGGAGUUCUUUUGUUGAGAGUAUCUAUUAUCUCUACAGUUUGAGGCCUGACUGGAUGUUUGUUUGCAGCAGAGCAUCUGCACAAAAAUGUCAACUCAAGAUUGCUCCCAGAAGAACAAGUCAUGCCAGCACCUGGAUCUCCACAAUGCUUAGUAUGCAUGGCAGCUACAAUCAUCAUGGAAAUCUGCUUCAACCAGCAUCGCAAACUUCAAAAGCAGAAGGCUUGAUCCUUAAUAUUUCUAACACCCACGGUUAACCAGCAUUUGUACCCUCAUUCAUGUAUGCAUAAUUACCUGGGCCUUUUCCAUGCUUCUGUCUUCCUUCCUCUCUCCAAGCACGGGCUAUGUAGAUGAGAAUAAUUCCUCCCUGCAAGGACUGGGACAGAUAAAGUCACAGGAGAAGUAGGUGGAAAGUAAAAUAAUUGCUGAUGAGUGAUGUGUUCCUUCCACAAAGUUACUUUUAAAGCUCUGCUUCAGAAGACUGGGCCAUUUUCCAGUGGGUGCAUGCAAUGCGAAAGAAGAGCAAAAUUUCAUGGACACACUGUUCCUCCCAGAAAAGGAUUGGUAGGCGUUUCAGGCUCCAAUAUGACCUCCUUUUAGAGGUGGAUGUAAAGAAUAAGGACUGUUUAUUUCGCAGCCUUUUAAUUCCUCUAUCCCUCACCUUUAUGGUUUGUUCUCUGUGCAGUCAAAACAGCCAAUAAGUUUUGUACAAUAAUGACUUUGGAUGGCCACCUCUCCGACAGGUUAUGAUAACAAAUCACGGUGUUGGGAGGAACAGGGUGACCUGCCCUUGCUUCUCUCCCGCACAUCUGGACAAAGCUCUGCCCUUGCUUCUCUCUCUCUCUCUCUCUCUCUCUCUCUCUCUCUCUCUCUCUUGCUUCAGUCAUUUCCACGCUUCAAUCCAACAAUUGUAUAUAAGCAGACCGCUCCUUUUCCAUCCAAUGUGCACAACAAGAGGUACAAAAACAGUAGGAAGAUGGCUUUGUCUUCUUCUCAUCACAUCCUGUUGCUGAGCUUUUUGCUGUCAUGUUAUGUUCCACUCGGCCUUGCUCGCAGACAUUGGCCUGUAGGAGGAUCCACCAGGUUCUACGACUUCAAGGUCUCCGUUCUUAUCUUUGUCUGCAUGCGCACAUAUGUCUCUGUUCUUAGUUUGCAGGCUUUUCAUUGAGGAUAUGUUGCGUAAGUUUUUAGAGGACAGAGAGAUAGAGAGAUUUAGUCAUUUGUAGAAUCUCCUUUAUUGCAUGGAGUAUUAGAACGAAGGGUCGUUUCUUUGUGAAGUUGAGAUUGAUAUCAAAGCUUGUCAUGGAAAUCUGCUUGUUUGAUGGCUGGACUGUGUGUGAAUGUUAUGCGCGCAGGUGCAAACGACGAGGGUCACGAAGCUGUGCAAGACCAAGGACAUCGUCACCGUCAAUGGUAUGUUCCCCGGCCCGGUCAUUUACGCCCAGGAAGAUGAUCGGAUCAUCGUCACGGUCACGAACGAGAGCCCGCACAACGCCACCAUCCACUGGUAAUAAUCUUGCCACCCGGCUCAUUUUACUGCAUGUCUACGCUGCUCAUGCGGUACCAAACUCACAGCGCAUGCCGAGAACUAAUCAUGGCGUCCUCUCCAUCUGUGCAUUGUAGGCAUGGAGUGCGGCAGAGGUUGUCGUGCUGGGCGGACGGGCCGUCCUACAUCACCCAAUGCCCGAUCCAGGCUGGGCAGAGCUUCACCUACGAGUUCACCCUGUUCCAGCAGAAGGGGACGCUGUUCUGGCACGCGCAUAUCUCAUGGCUCCGCGCCACCGUCAACGGCGCCAUCGUCAUCUACCCCAAGACCAGCGUCCCCUACCCCUUUCCCUACCCUUACGAGGAGCACGUCCUCAUCUUUGGUAAUGUCGUUUCCCUUCCCAUGAGCUUCGAGGAGAGAUGGUUCGAGGUUUUGCUGAAGCUGCAAAGCUCGUCUCAGGGGAAUACUGGCACAAGGAUAUGCUGCAGCUGGAGAAAGAGGUGGUCGCCAGCGGCGGCGGCCCUCCACCUGCGGAGGCGUACCUCAUCAACAGCCACCCUGGGCCGCGUUACAACUGCUCGGCUACUGGUAGCCUACCCUGCUCUCGCUGCUACCAUUGCUUCUUGUUGGUGAUUGUCACACGACUGGUUUCUUGUCUCCAGAUGUGUACAAGAUCGACGUCGUCCCCGGCAAGACGUACCUGCUGCGGCUGAUAAGCGCGUCCCUGAACAUGGAGCACUUCUUCGCCAUCGCCGGCCACAAGCUGACCAUCGUGGAGGCCGACGCCGAGUACACCAAGCCGUUCACCGUCGACCGCCUCAUGAUCACUCCGGGGCAGACCAUCAACGUCCUCGUCAAGGCCGACCAGCCCAUCGACCGGUACGACAUGGCGAUGGGGCCGUACAUGUCCGCUCAGAACGUCACCUUCCAAAACAUCUCCGCCAUUGCCCACUUCCAGUACACCGGAGCCACGCUCGACGACCUCAGCCUCCCCGCCCAGCUCCCCGUCUACAACGACAACCUCGUCGUCAACACCAACCUGCACAUGCUCCGGAGCCUCAACGCCACCAACCUCCCCUCCGAGAUCGACGCCAACCUCUUCUUCACCGUCGGCUUGAACGUGGAGGAAUGCCACUCCUCCAACCCCAACAAGAGCUGCCAGGGACCCAGCGGCGGCGUCUUCGCGGCGUCGAUGAACAACGUCAGUUUCGUCAAGCCUAACAUCUCGCUCCUCCAGGCCUACUACAACAACAUCAAUGGUCUGUACACGGACGACUUCCCCGGCGUGCCGCUCAAGACCUACGACUUCGUCAAUGGCGCGCCCAACAAUAUCCCCAACGACACCCAGUCCCUGAUCGGGACCAAAGUGAAGGUCCUCGAGUACGGGAGCAGGGUGCAGCUCAUCUUGCAGAACACCGGCACCGUGACGACCGAGAACCACCCUAUCCAUCUCCAUGGCUACAACUUCUAUGUUGUGGGCUACGGAACAGGGAACUACAACCCCAUGGGUGCGAAGCUCAACCUGGUUGAUCCGCCAUACAUGAACACCAUCGGAGUGCCGGUCGGAGGAUGGGCCGCCAUCCGGUUCGUCGCCGACAAUCCAGGUACUACUGACCUCUCUCAGUAUCAUCGUCCUAACACCCACUAAAUUCUCGUAGACACAGCCUCUUAGAACACGCGUCAUGCACGCUGCAUGCAGGUGUGUGGUUCAUGCACUGCCAUUUUGAUGUGCACCUGACCUGGGGCCUGUCGAUGGCGUUCAUCGUGAAGAACGGCGAGGGGCCCCUGGAGACUCUUCCCCAUCCUCCGGCCGACUUGCCUAGGUGUUGAUCUGCCACUUGGAAUCAUCAUCACCAACUGCUGUGCCGUGCAUCUUCUCAUGUGUUCUGAUGUGUCAUACCUCGAAAGCACUUUGAUUUCAUUCUUUCAAGCAGCUUCCGUCCAUGUGAAGUUUUCCCCAAAUCAAAAAGGAUGUCCAAUAAACACAUCAAUGGAUGCAUAGGUGCGUGCGCCCGCAUUAUACUUGUAAUCAAAUCACAUUUGGUUGUAUCAGAAAGGUGUGGAAAGAGGUCACCUUAUGGUUGUUCUCGAAAUCUAUAUUGCUCUGUUCUCGCAUCAAUUUUGUGCUGACAUUAAUGUCCAUCACAAAGGCAUUUGACAGGUUUAUCCAUCAUACUAAGAAUUAUCUGGAUCGUGCAACCUAAACUUUUUAUUUAGCGAGAUAUAAUCUUCAACGAAAAGCAAAAUUCUGUGUAAUUAAGCAAUAAGUCAAACACAAAUAUCCUAUACUUCAUUUGCUUUAAGAGAUUCUCACUUUUCCUAAACCAUGUUAGACUCAUUCUAUGAUAAAUAAACAAAGAUGACUUGGGUGCGAGGUCUCAGCAAGUGGAGCCAUCUGAAUCGUGAUUGACAGAAUUAGACUAUGGUUGUGUUUCAGUCCUAUGUAGCAAUGGAUCAUUUUGGAGGCAGUAGCAGGUUUUGGAAAGAAAAAGACCAAAACAUCAAUGAAAUGAGGUCACCAGUUUAACUUUUCCAAGCAUCCAUAAAUCAAGAUGAAUACAAAGUUUACCAGAAAGAACCCUUCAAACACAUGCAAAGCCUACCGUGAGUAGUUACAAGAGGAGCAAAUUCUAGAAGAUGAACACCCCAAUUCAGACCUCAGGACAAGGUUCAACCCACCAUGACCAACCAUAGCAAUUCAAUCAGAUAGGAAAUACUUGAAAGAAUCUAUAUAAUUGAAUGAGUAUCCUCUAUCCGAAAGUACAAGUUAACCCUCACCCAGCUCAUCUGCCGGUUGCCGCCUUAGACAAUGGGGAUGCUUUACACCAAUAUUGCCAAAUGUUUUUAUGACAUAUCAGGAAACCCAAAGGUGUCCAAAGCUGAUACAAGAAAAAAUACCAAAUCCAAAAAUCUCACCUACACUGCACAAAUGUACAAAGAAUUCAAGCCUUAUCCGCCUAGCUUGAUCUUUUGAUGGCGUCAAUAUCUCUGUGUCCUACCAGCUUAUGUAUAAUUCUGAUCCAUGUAGAAUUGGCAGAAGCACUGGAGAUGUGUUCCUUUGUAUGUUCUACUUACAUAAUAGAGCGGUGUGAAAGAGGUACUGCCAAAAGCAUAUAUAGUGGUACUAUGGCAAAAAGAAGAUACGACCAUGUGCAGGCCAAACUAAUCAUAGAUGUUGUGGUAAUCCAUAAUUCUGGUAAGAUCUGAUCCAUCCAUCUGAUCCAGCAGCAACUAUAACCUGACCCCAGGCAUGUGAGGUGGUCUGGCGAAAAGUCUUCAGGGACUUGUAGUGGGACUUGUAGAAGGUAGAUGCAACAAAGUUUGAGGGAAGUUUCUCCUCCGGCCAAGUUGCAGAGCUCUUCCGCAGAGACUCCAAGAACUCAUGGCUCAGAGAGAAACAACUGGAAGGCGAUAAAUUCAAGGUGUAUUUACCAAUCAAAUCUUUUAUAUGACAAUUAAAGUCAUAUCCUAUGAGCCCAGCAUUCUCCCUGAAGACAUCCUUUUGCAAAUGGGGGACCUCAGAGGUGUUUGUUCCUGAUUUUCUGCACUGCAGACCACACCAGGGUAUCACAAUAGAUGCAUUGCUCGAAAUGAAGCGCUCACUAGACCAGGUGCUCUUCACGUGGUGAGAUGUGGGUGCCACAUCGCUAGCAUGAUGGCUCCACAUGUAGACAUUGGAGUCUUCACUGGCAGAAAAGAUAUGCUGUCCAUCUGCAGUGAAGGAUGCAGAGACCUGACUUCCAGAGUUCUGGAUACCUGUGAAUAGCAAUUAUACGAGACACAUAAGGACUAUUGGUCUGCGAAUGAAUGUCCUGGAAUAAAUGGAUCAUACUAAUAGGGCAAGAUUUCAUACACUUGAAUUUCGAAACCACAUCAAUGCCAUCAAAAAUUCGGAUUUGUGAGUCAGCAGAAGAUACCAUCAGUUUGUGAGGAUUGCUUGGGCAAAACUGGAGAUGGAACCAAAAGUUGUAAGAAGAUAGAAAUGGUAAUAGACAAACAGCAUACAUGAAGUUGGCAAAUACAGAUAUGAAAUAUCAACCAUAUAGGGGUCACUUCUGCAGAAAGUUACCUGAAAUCCUGUUAUCCUUUUUGAGGACUUCUUUUUGCCCUGCAAGGAGACCUGAGCAUCUAGCUGCAGAUGAUUAUCUGAUCCAUGCAGAAAAACAGCAAUAAGUAACAUAUACAAUCCUGUGAGGUAACGAGAUAAACUGUAGCAAGAUUUCUCAUUAUUACAAAUAAUGACGAAAACUCCAAACUCAAAUCCAUUCAAUGGAGCAACAGAGUCAGAAAGAGUGCGAUGUAUUGGUCUGCAGGAUUUAUUGGAGCUAAGUACAUAUCCAGAAAGUGUAUCAAGCAUCCGUGAAGGGAAUAAAAACAUACAUAUGAAAGUGAUCAACAUGGUAAAGAAGACUUAGUUCUCAGUCUAGGUGAAUAAGAAUGUAGUCUUUUUAUGAGGAUCACGGUAUUCCACUAUGUAUAAAGAUGUCAACAAGAAAAAAAAAACACUAUCAUGUUAGAAGAUUCACAUUUACCUGAUGCAUCAUAAAAGCGGCAAUUGCCUGCCAAGGUGCCAAUAACUGCUCCCUGCACAAAAGGAAAACAUUUUUUUUAUAGAAAGUCUCACAAUGACAAAACUCUUUAAGAACAACUACAAAGAACAAUAUCAACACACCUUUCCAUCAGGACGGUAGCAAACUGCAGUGACUAUUUCUCUAGUAUCAACCCAACCCACAACACGACAUACUGAAAUUUCCCAUAUACGAACUUUACCAUCAACGGAGCCACUGAUGAAGUAGGCCUCAUUUACAGGAUUAAACUGCACACAUGUCACUGCAUAAUUCAUCGGAUGAUGCAAAAGAACUUGUGAGACCAACGAACUGACUGGAGCUAAAAUUAUGUGAAUGACAGAUAAUGGCAACAUAACAACAUCAAAGGGAAUUACCUACCGUAAUCAUUGUGAGGGAAUAUUUUGACACAGUCUUCGGAACCAACUUGCCACAUGCGAACAGUUUUGUCCAUAGAUGAUGAUAGUAAGCACUGACAAAAGCAUAAAUCUCACAAUCAGAAAAAGAUUCGUGCAAUACUAAAAGUCUAUAUCAAUAAAUUAUCCUUCAGUAUAGAAGCAAAGUGUAAAAAUGUUAACUGACCUUAUUAUUUGACCAUGAAAUAUCCAAAACAUCCCCAUCAUGCCCAUGGAACUCAUGAAGUGGUUCCUCAGACAACUGAAAAGCUUCAGGAGGAAUGACAACACACACUGGAUCUGAAGUUAUUCUUGUGCUUCUGGACUUCAAUUUUUUCUCUUCGUCAACAUAGAGAGGAGUUAACUCAGAAGUGUCAUUCACUGUGAAGAAUAUGCAUGAAGGAUCAUCUCCAAGAAUGUCUUUUUCAUCUGUUCUUUCACAUUCCGUUACAUACCACACACGCACAACUCCAUCUUCACCUCCGGUAGCUAAAUACUGACCAUCGGGGCUAAACUUCAUGGUUAAGAUGGCACCAUUAUGGGCUUUGAAAUCUUGCCGCUUGUAGACUGCAGAUAAUUCCUUUGAUCGCUUCUUGUAAGGGUGGACUUUGACCCUUUGAGUCUUAGUACUUCCACCCCUGCAAAAGUUAGAAAAAUUGGAACUACACUUGUCCCCUUGCCUAUCCAACAUGCAAGCAGCAGCACCCAAUCUUCUGAGCCAUCCAAUCUUUGUCCUUUCUACUGACUUCUUAGAUAUGAUUGAUGCAUCAUCUUCUUUCCUCAUAAGCUGCUGGGUCAAGGAUGAUGGACCAAAAUUUCUCUCAAGUUCAUGAAGUGUUGAACUCCUAUUAUAACCAACUUCAUGAAGGCUUCUUAAGCUACCAUCUUUGCCUAAAUUAUUCGCACUGCAUGAUGCACCCAUCUCCUCAUUGGACAAGCUGGACAUAGAACAAUUGCCCCCUGAACAAGGGCUUCUUAGCACAGCACCACAGUCUGACAUGACUCUACCAAUAUCCGGCUCAAUAUCACCAUCCACCUUUAGCUCUUCAUCAGGACUAUCUGAUUCUUCAGGGGAGCUGUUCAUCAUAUCCACACCAAAAAUUUUCAUGAACUUGUCCCGCCGUUCCCUCACGCUGACAGGAUCCUUGAUCCAGACCUGGGGAAGAACCCGUGGCCAACUGAUGAAUUGGUCUUCAGGGAACAAACCAUUAUCCGCCAGGCUUCCGGGACACGAAUCGGAGACAGACGAGACGUAGUCUCUCGAGUCGAAGAACACUUCAUCCUCUUCUUCUUGUAAGGUGAAAUCUUGA